rnacentral:rRNA from 1 species
GUGGGGAAUUUUGGACAAUGGGCGCAAGCCUGAUCCAGCCAUUCCGCGUGAGUGAAGAAGGCCUUCGGGUUGUAAAGCUCUUUCGCAAGGGAAGAAAACUUACAUUCUAAUAAAGUGUGAGGCUGACGGUACCUUGAUAAGAAGCACCGGCUAACUACGUGCCAGCAGCCGCGGUAAUACGUAGGGUGCGAGCGUUAAUCGGAAUUACUGGGCGUAAAGCGUGCGCAGGCGGUUUGGCAAGUCAGAUGUGAAAUCCCCGAGCUCAACUUGGGAACUGCGUUUGAAACUGCCAGACUAGAAUAUGUCAGAGGGGGGUAGAAUUCCACGUGUAGCAGUGAAAUGCGUAGAGAUGUGGAGGAAUACCAAUGGCGAAGGCAGCCCCCUGGGAUAAUAUUGACGCUCAUGCACGAAAGCGUGGGGAGCAAACAGGAUUAGAAACCCUAGUAGUCC